GGGCCCGUAGGCUAGUCUGGAUAAACUAACGGCUUGCGGAGCCGUGGUCCCGGGUUCAAAUCCCGGCGGGCUCG
rnacentral:tRNA from 1 species